rnacentral:lncRNA from 1 species
GCAUUGCUUCAGGGAAGGAACUCAUGCUGAGUCCCACAGGCAUUUGAGCCAUGAGCAGCGGCUGCCAUGGGACCAAGAUGCAAGCAAACUACACUCAAAUUUAUAAACCUCUAGCCACACUAACAAAGAAAAGAAGAGAGAAGACCCAAAUAAACAAAAUCAGAAAUGAAAAAUGAGACAUUACAAUUGAUAUCAGAGAAAUAUUUAAAAAGAUUAUGAGAGU